CCUACGGGGGGCUGCAGUGGGGAAUAUUGGACAAUGGGGGGAACCCUGAUCCAGCCAUGCCGCGUGUGUGAAGAAGGCCCUCGGGUUGUAAAGCACUUUCAGUGAGGAAGAACGCCUGGUGGUUAAUACCCAUCAGGAAAGACAUCACUCACAGAAGAAGCACCGGCUAACUCCGUGCCAGCAGCCGCGGUAAUACGGAGGGUGCGAGCGUUAAUCGGAAUUACUGGGCGUAAAGCGAGCGUAGGUGGCUUGAUAAGCGGGUUGUGAAAGCCCCGGGCUCAACCUGGGAACGGCAUCCGGAACUGUCAAGCUAGAGUGCAGGAGAGGAAGGUAGAAUUCCCGGUGUAGCGGUGAAAUGCGUAGAGAUCGGGAGGAAUACCAGUGGCGAAGGCGGCCUUCUGGACUGACACUGACACUGAGGUGCGAAAGCGUGGGUAGCAAACAGGAUUAGAUACCCGAGUAGUC
rnacentral:rRNA from 1 species